rnacentral:rRNA from 1 species
GACAGAGGCCUCAAGCGUUAGGCGGAAUCACUGGGCUUAAAGCGUGUGUAGGCGGAUCGUUAAGUGUCUUGUGAAAUCCCACGGCUCACCCGUGGAACUGCUGGGCAUACUGGCGAUCUUGGGCCAACUAGGGGCAACUGGAACAAGCGGUGGAGCGGUGAAAUGCGUAGAUAUCGCUUGGAACGCCAAAGGUGAAAACAGGUUGCUGGGGUUGUGCCGACGCUGAGACACGAAAGCCAGAGGAGCAAACGGG